UGGGGAAUUUUGGACAAUGGGCGCAAGCCUGAUCCAGCCAUGCCGCGUGCGGGAAGAAGGCCUUCGGGUUGUAAACCGCUUUUGUCAGGGAAGAAAUCUUCUGAGUUAAUACCUCGGGAGGAUGACGGUACCUGAAGAAUAAGCACCGGCUAACUACGUGCCAGCAGCCGCGGUAAUACGUAGGGUGCAAGCGUUAAUCGGAAUUACUGGGCGUAAAGCGUGCGCAGGCGGUUUUGUAAGACAGAGGUGAAAUCCCCGGGCUCAACCUGGGAACUGCCUUUGUGACUGCAAGGCUUGAGUGCGGCAGAGGGGGAUGGAAUUCCGCGUGUAGCAGUGAAAUGCGUAGAUAUGCGGAGGAACACCGAUGGCGAAGGCAAUCCCCUGGGCCUGCACUGACGCUCAUGCACGAAAGCGUGGGGAGCAAACAGGAUUAGAUACCCUGGUAGUCACGCCCUAAACGAUGUCAACUGGUUGUUGGGAAGGUUCCUUCUCAGUAACGUAGCUAACGC
rnacentral:rRNA from 1 species